rnacentral:piRNA from 1 species
UGAUUGGUGGAAUGUGGUCAGGGAGGCCU